GACGAACGCUGGCGGCGUGCUUAACACAUGCAAGUCGAACGGUGAAGCUCCAGCUUGCUGGAGUGGAUCAGUGGCGAACGGGUGAGUAAUACGUGAGCAACCUGCCCCAGACUCUGGAAUAAGCGCUGGAAACGGCGUCUAAUACUGGAUACGAGAUCAAGCCGCAUGGUUAUGGUCUGGAAAGUUUUUCGGGUUGGGAUGGGCUCGCGGCCUAUCAGCUUGUUGGUGAGGUAAUGGCUCACCAAGGCGACGACGGGUAGCCGGCCUGAGAGGGCGACCGGCCACACUGGGACUGAGACACGGCCCAGACUCCUACGGGAGGCAGCAGUGGGGAAUAUUGCACAAUGGGCGAAAGCCUGAUGCAGCGACGCCGCGUGAGGGAUGACGGCCUUCGGGUUGUAAACCUCUUUCAGCAGGGAAGAAGCGAAAGUGACGGUACCUGCAGAAGAAGCACCGGCUAACUACGUG
rnacentral:rRNA from 1 species